UACGUAGGGGGCAAGCGUUGUCCGGAAUCAUUGGGCGUAAAGCGCGUGUAGGCGGCCCGGUAGGUCCGCUGUGAAAGUCGGGGGCUCAACCCUCGAAUGCCGGUGGAUACUGUCGGGCUAGAGUGCGGGAGAGGCGAGUGGAAUUCCUGGUGUAGCGGUGAAAUGCGCAGAUAUCAGGAGGAACACCAAUUGCGAAGGCAGCUCGCUGGAACGUAACUGACGCUGAGACGCGAAAGCGUGGGGAGCAAACAGG
rnacentral:rRNA from 1 species